rnacentral:rRNA from 1 species
GAUGAACGCUGGCGGCGUGCCUAAUACAUGCAAGUCGAGCGAACAGACGAGGAGCUUGCUCCUUUGACGUUAGCGGCGGACGGGUGAGCAACACGUGGGUAACCUACCUAUAAGACUGGGAUAACUUCGGGAAACCGGAGCUAAUACCGGAUAAUAUUUCGAACCGCAUGGUUCGAUAGUGAAAGAUGGCUUUGCUAUCACUUAUAGAUGGACCUGCGCCGUAUUAGCUAGUUGGUAAGGUAACGGCUUACCAAGGCAACGAUACGUAGCCGACCUGAGAGGGUGAUCGGCCACACUGGAACUGAGACACGGUCCAGACUCCUACGGGAGGCAGCAGUAGGGAAUCUUCCGCAAUGGGCGAAAGCCUGACGGAGCAACGCCGCGUGAGUGAUGAAGGUCUUCGGAUCGUAAAACUCUGUUAUUAGGGAAGAACAAACGUGUAAGUAGCUGUGCACGUCUUGACGGUACCUAAUCAGAAAGCCACGGCUAACUACGUG